UUUCUCCUGAUAGAGACGAAUUAGAGACUCUUGUGCUUAGCACAAGGAUUAUACUCACUAAUUUUUUUGAAAGGGUAUUUGAUACAAAGUUUUCUGGCAAUUCCCUUUAUGAAUGGCUCCUGUCCUAAUAAUUUUGAAGUUCUCUUUGAAAGAAUGAAAAAGAUCUUGUCCGACCCGGACAUAGUGUCUUCCAGCUUUGGUCCCCUUUCUCUCUACUUUAAGUAUCGCAUAAUG
rnacentral:lncRNA from 1 species